rnacentral:tRNA from 1 species
AAGAGUAGUAGUUCAAUUUUAGAAUCUUGCUUUGUGGUUGCAAAGGUAUACAAUUAUAUGUAUCUCUCUUC